UCAUGGAACCAAUUACCGUCGUUAAGAGGGGAUUUAUUCUAAAUGUGUGGGGGUAAAAAACUCAGGAGAUGGGAUCUGAUAUUGAUGCUAGCACCGGAAGUUGCUCAUGUAUUCGCUUAGGCGAGCGUGUGUGUAUACGGUGUGUGGAAUGUGUACGCGCCCAGGAUGAGCAUUAUGGUCGCAUGCGGUGCAUUUCUUAAAGCCACGGAAGAAUGAGCAUACGGCCCUGUAUGCUCGAACCAGACGUGACUUCUUCUUCUCUUUCUGCAGGGGUUCACCCCACUGUCUUGUCUCCUCCUUGACGGAUGCCUCUGAGUGGAUUGAUGUGUCCACAACAGGGACACACUGACUCGGCACUUCCUCAUCCCUCGGCACUUCCUCAUCCCUCGGAAUUUCUUCAUCCCUCGGAAUUUCCUCAUCCCUCAGCCAGCUGUGCGCCAGUGCCUCUGCUGGUGUCAUCCGCAGAGCUGGAUCCCAUCUGUUGAGACACACAGAAAUAUGUGGCACACGUGGCAAGGGUGAUAAUGAUGUGACUGAAUGGGAAAACCUCUCGGUGGUAUGGUGGGGGCGGGGGUGUGUUCUUACUCCAGGCAGCGGCUAAUGAAGUCGUGGAACUCCGUGUCCUGGCUCCCGAGUGCCAGGUAGAGGGGGUGACUGCCUGGGACCCUGCUUUGUCCGGACAUCAAAGGCAUCCCCGAACCAUCUGCAGGAACGAUGCAGAUCAGGUAAAACAUCACAGCAAACCACAGGACCCUUGUACACCCACAGCGCAGAAACAAAAUCGUUUAGUGCUCUGACAUAGAUCAGUGGGAGUGCUUUUACCGCUUGUUGCAGAAAUUCACGGUUCAAAUUCUGCAAGCCGCCCUGGUUACUACUUCAGUAUUAACCAUAUGAUGCUUUGCGCUGUUUGAUUUAAAAUGGGACAUUACAGACCUUGUGAAGUAAUAAAAUGACCGUGCUGGCGUUAUGCCCGCUACUGUGAAAUGACUGCAGUUGGUGUCUGUGAAACACAGCAGGCACCUUCCUUUGUGAUAGCUUUACAUUCUAAGAAUGAUAGCGCAAAUACCAAGUGCAAUCAAUCAUUAUUAACUAUGAUAAAUCCUAAAGGUAAACAAAGAAGAGCUAUUUUAACUGUGAUUUAAUCUCUUUCAAGCAAAACAUUAUUUUUUACCAGGUAAAGCCCACUGAACUAUUGCCUCUUCUUCAGAGGCGACCAGGCAAAGGGGAGAAGAUAUGUUCCCGCAAUGUACAGCAGCCAGGGUGGGGAUCCACGUGACGACCUUCUACAUUGCAGCCACUCGGGUGUUGGUCUUGUGGUCACGGCAUUUGAAGAUCUGGCUGUAAGGUCCGACCACCUUCUUCAGCACCUCAUACCGGAAAUUGAGAUGAUCAUGGUGUUUGUCAGUGUGCAGACUUUGUAUGUUCUCCACUUGUUACGUGCCCUGAGGAGAGCCGUACCGAGACAUAAUGGUUGUAGACAUCAUCGUAGCCAUGGUUCUGGGUGCCAAAGCCUUUGUUAUGGACGCCGAAAUACCAGAUGUUAUUCACGGUGAGGACCUCGCUUCUCUCAGUGGCGGUCAGGAAAUCCCCAAAGAGCUUCAAGAUUUCUGCAAACAUAAGAACAAUGAUGAUGAUUAAUACUGUACUAUUGUUUUAAUAUUGUUUUGUUAAAUAAAACGUUUUCGUUUCUUUAAUUUGUUCAUUAA